ensembl:ncRNA C52E4.17 ncRNA
UUCUCUAGUUCUUGACGUCGAAAAGCUUCGUACCAGUGCUCAGUGCUCACGUGCUGCCCUUCCUUUUCUUCUUAUCAGUAUUUGAUCGGUAAUUCGGAACUGAUUUAGGAGAGCAUCUGAACCGGAAUUCAUCUGUGAUACCAA